UAAGGGAAGCCUUCACUUUUCAACACGGUAAAGAGACUUGGAGUGUGUUCGGAGCACAGAAGUAGAGCCACAUUAUCUGGGUUUGAAUCUGGAGCUGCCACUCUCAAUGUUAGGUGACAGGGAUGACAACAUCCAGACAUUUCCAUUCGUGUCUGUCAGCAUCUGCGUCUGAAGCUCCAGGCUAGCAAAAGCAGAGGACACAACUUUUCUAUCAGGAGGAUGGAUUGUGUCUUUGAAGAAGGCAGGCGGCUGACCGUUGGUCAAAGCAAAGGAAGUGAACGACCCUUGCAUCUUUCUCCAUCUGGGCAGAGAACCUGGGUGUGUCCAUCUGGCAGCUAUAGAGUUCCAAGAAUUCCAAGGAAUGGAAGGGUAUGAGGUCUCUUGAGACCGAUUUUCAAGAGGUAUAAUCUUACUUCUAUUAUAUACCACUGGCAAGCUCCUUUGCCUGAUGAGGACAAUUACUUCACCCACACAAACUGUGGGUGACCACUGAGUGCUGCUGAAGGGCUGUUGUGUGGUUGCAUAUGCUGUGUUAAACACAUGCAAGUCAUUACUUUUCCUUUACCCUAAUGUCCUGUAUCAUCUUGACCUUGAUCUGACCUACCUACGGUGCCUAAACUCUAAUUAAUGCACAAUUAAUUCUUGGGGCCACAGUGGGUAGGUGGGUUCUGUGUUAUUUACCAUUGGCACAGCUUCUCUAACCCCGAGGCCAGAGACUUCCCUCCUCGGGUGUCUGGACUCCUGGUCCACUGUCCUGCUGCUCGUCCUCUUGCCAUCAGGAUAGCGCUCACUGCUGAAGUCCAUUUACCUUCUAGACACGCCUUCUUCCCAGGUUAGUGGUCUCAUAGCUAGGUUCUUCCCUUUCUUCUUCCAUAGCUUCAUCUCUUCCCAUCCCCCACUUGCUAUUCUGACCUUUGUUUUUAUGCCAGGGAGGUUGCUAAGAAAUUACACAAUUGUCUGAUUCAUCCUGACAUCAGUCCUAUAGCACAGGAAUUACUCCCAUCACCAUUUUCCUGAUGAAAAGACUGAGAUGUGUAGAGUUCACAUGCCUCCUCAAGACCACAAACUACGUGAGUAGGAGAACCAAAAUUAAACUCAAGGUCUGCUCCAAAACUCAUCCUUUGUUGCUCAGUUGUGUGUUCUGUGGCAACUUCCUGCUAGAAUGUUUCUCCUCUCUGUCUGGAUGGUCUACAUGUUCUCAGCAUUUUCUCAAAACUACCAUCACCCUCAUCCCUUGCUUUGACUUUUAUCUAGGACAAUAGACCCUUCUCUAAGGAUAUUGUUCUGUGAUGUCUGUCAUGAUUGUGGAUAGACACAUGUGGCUUUAGAGCACUUGAUAGAUUGUUAGUAUGAAGAUACAUGAACACACACAUACAAUCAUAUAUAUAUGAAUGAGACUGGGUCUAAUGUAGCCUAGACAAGUUGGCCUUGAACUCAUUAUGUG